GGCGCCACAGUCCGAGAACGAACUUGGGACUUGCCAAAAAUCUCCAGCAGGGACAGCCCCCACCAUCCCGGCCCCAUGAGCAAAACAGCCCCAGCUUGGUGAACUUACAGAAAUCCACCUGCAGGUCCCGGUAGACCAAGCUGUGGGCGCUUGGAGGUUGUUCCAGUUUGGAAGUGAACGUGAUGAUGGAGUCAGGGAAGAGGAAUGCAGAUCUGGAAGAAUGGGAUGCAAAAAUCAGGAAGUUAACAGAAGAAUUUGAGGAAAGUGACACAGAACUCGAGGAAUGUGACACAGAAAAUGGUAAAGGGGAACUCACAGCUGAGAUAGAGGAACGUGAUAGAAAAAUUAGAAAACUUACUUCAGACCUUGGCGAAUGUGAUACAAAAAUCAAGGAGCGUGAUAGAAAAAUAACCAAGCUCUCAGCAGAAAUACGUAGGCUCACAGCUCUGCUUGGGGACCGAGACAAACAGCUUCGGAAACUGACUGCAGAACUUGCAAAGUGUGAUGCAACAAUCAGAUUAUUCACGGUGGAACUUGGAGAGCGUCAUACAAAAAUAGGGGAACUUACUGCAGAAGUCGGGGACUACGAUAGGCAACUUCGGAAACACGCAGCAGAACUUGCGGAACGGGAUGAAAAAAUCAGGGAACAUGAAGCAGAGAUAAGGCGUCUUACUGAGCUGCUAGAGGAUCGUGAUUUGGAAGCCCGAAACCAGGAUGCCCUUAUCAGUAAGUGUCAUUCUUAUUUUCUGAGAAAUGCACUCCCUGGGGUGGCUGGGUGGUCACAAACACGAUGAUGUUGCUGCUACUGUUUUGGCUUGGUGUUUUAGUUGAAAUAGUGAAAAAACUGGAAUUAAGAGGCAUGAGUAAAUCUGCCCAUGGUAGAGGAUUUGGUAACCUCAAGUUCCCCCAUCACACCCCUCUCCCAUCCUUGCAAAGGAGAUGAACUGAUUAGAAAAAACAAUAUUUUCUUCUUUUUAAGGAAAAUUGAUUGAAGAGCUUG
rnacentral:lncRNA from 1 species